rnacentral:rRNA from 1 species
UACGUAGGUGGCAAGCGUUUGUCCGGAAUUAUUGGGCGUAAAGCGCGCGCAGGCGGUCCCUUAAGUCUGAUGUGAAAGCCCACGGCUCAACCGUGGAGGGUCAUUGGAAACUGGGGGGACUUGAGUACAGAAGAGGAAAGCGGAAUUCCACGUGUAGCGGUGAAAUGCGUAGAGAUGUGGAGGAACACCAGUGGCGAAGGCGGCUUUCUGGUCUGUAACUGACGCUGAGGCGCGAAAGCGUGGGGAGCAAACAGG